AUGUGUGGAUCGACUGCAACAGAGCCCUUGUUGGAAUCUAAAUGCAACAUAAGAUUCCCGUUGAUUUGGAUUCUCUCUCAUGUUCCGACAGCACCAGCUCCUCUAGUUUCUUUCUCACCUGUGGAAAGGUACUGUUCUCAUCGACUCUCUCUUCAGCUAACCAACCCAUCAAGCCCCAUCUGCUACAUCAUUUUUUGGUUGACACGAUUUGUGAUUUGUCCUUUUUUGGAAUCUGGUGACAUCUGUAUAGACUGGCUGUUUAAUCACAGAAUCUGUGUGCUGUCUUUAUCAUGUGUUUAAGUCUUAUAUCUGGGAAGACUGCAUGAUCCAGGCAGGCAGAGUGGUGGACAGAACGUGGCUUAGGACUUGAAGAUCUAGAUUCCAGUCUGGGUUCCAACACUUGCUGCAAGGGUGGCCUGGAGGAUCAGACUCCUUUCUAUAGAUGCAGCGAUUGAAACGUUCUCCUCCUGUGCUCUGGUUGGAAUUAGAACCCUCGAGUGUGACCACCACCUAUCAGUAUCAAGUACCAAGCUUGUUCUGAGAGUCUGUCCUUUCUCGAAUCCUCCACCAGCAUGGCUCACUCACCACAGUGCCAGGGAUGUGUUGUGUGGCAGCUCCAUGGAUCUUUG
rnacentral:lncRNA from 1 species